UUAGGAAUAUUGCACAAUGGGAGAAAUCCUGAUGCAGCGACGCCGCGUGGGGGAUGAAGGCCUUCGGGUUGUAAACCCCUUUUAGCAGGGAAAAAUAAAUUGAUGGUACCUGCAGAAAAAGCACCGGCGAACUCUGUGCCAGCAGCCGCGGUAAUACAGAGGGUGCUAGCGUUAUUCGGAUUCACUGGGCGUAAAGGGCGCGUAGGCUGUUUAGUAAGUCUGAUGUGAAAUCCCUGGGCUCAAUCCAGGAAGUGCAUCAGAUACUACUAGGCUAGAGUAUGGGAGGGGAGAAUGGAAUUCCUGGUGUAGAGGUGAAAUUCGUAGAUAUCAGGAGGAACAACAGUGGCGAAGGCGAUUCUCUGGACCAUUACUGACGCUGAUGCGCGAAAGCGUGGGGAGCAAACAGG
rnacentral:rRNA from 1 species